GACGAACGCUGGCGGCGCGCUUAACACAUGCAAGUCGAACGGAAAGGCCUGCUUUCCCUUGUGGAUUGCGGGUACUCGAGUGGCUAACGGGUGAGUAACACGUGAGUGAUCUGCCCCCAACUUGGGUAUAAGCCUGGGAAACUGGGUCUAAUUCCCGAUAGGACUGCAGGGUGGUGCCUGUGGUGGAAAACGAUUUUCUAGUGGUUGGGGAUGAGCUCGCGGCCUAUCAGCUUGUUGGUGGGGUAAUGGCCUACCAAGGCGGCGACGGGUAGCCGGCCUGAGAGGGUGGACGGCGACAUUGGGACUGAGAUACGGCCCAGACUCCUACGGGAGGCAGCAGUGGGGAAUAGUGCACAAUGGGCGGAAGCCUGAUGCAGCGACGCAGCGUGGGGGAUGACGGCCUUCGGGUUGUAAACUCCUUUCGACCGCGAGGAAGCCACCUGGUUGGAAGGGUGGUGACGGUAGUGGUAGAAGAAGCACCGGCUAACUACGUG
rnacentral:rRNA from 1 species